GGUUAAGCGACUAAGCGUACACGGUGGAUGCCCUGGCAGUCAGAGGCGAUGAAGGACGUGCUAAUCUGCGAUAAGCGUCGGUAAGGUGAUAUGAACCGUUAUAACCGGCGAUUUCCGAAUGGGGAAACCCAGUGUGUUUCGACACACUAUCAUUAACUGAAUCCAUAGGUUAAUGAGGCGAACCGGGGGAACUGAAACAUCUAAGUACCCCGAGGAAAAGAAAUCAACCGAGAUUCCCCCAGUAGCGGCGAGCGAACGGGGAGCAGCCCAGAGCCUGAAUCAGUGUGUGUGUUAGUGGAAGCGUCUGGAAAGGCGCGCGAUACAGGGUGACAGCCCCGUACACAAAAAUGCACAUGCUGUGAGCUCGAUGAGUAGGGCGGGACACGUGGUAUCCUGUCUGAAUAUGGGGGGACCAUCCUCCAAGGCUAAAUACUCCUGACUGACCGAUAGUGAACCAGUACCGUGAGGGAAAGGCGAAAAGAACCCCGGCGAGGGGAGUGAAAAAGAACCUGAAACCGUGUACGUACAAGCAGUGGGAGCCUCUUAAUGGGGUGACUGCGUACCUUUUGUAUAAUGGGUCAGCGACUUAUAUUCUGUAGCAAGGUUAACCGAAUAGGGGAGCCGAAGGGAAACCGAGUCUUAACUGGGCGUUAAGUUGCAGGGUAUAGACCCGAAACCCGGUGAUCUAGCCAUGGGCAGGUUGAAGGUUGGGUAACACUAACUGGAGGACCGAACCGACUAAUGUUGAAAAAUUAGCGGAUGACUUGUGGCUGGGGGUGAAAGGCCAAUCAAACCGGGAGAUAGCUGGUUCUCCCCGAAAGCUAUUUAGGUAGCGCCUCGUGAAUUCAUCUCCGGGGGUAGAGCACUGUUUCGGCAAGGGGGUCAUCCCGACUUACCAACCCGAUGCAAACUGCGAAUACCGGAGAAUGUUAUCACGGGAGACACACGGCGGGUGCUAACGUCCGUCGUGAAGAGGGAAACAACCCAGACCGCCAGCUAAGGUCCCAAAGUCAUGGUUAAGUGGGAAACGAUGUGGGAAGGCCCAGACAGCCAGGAUGUUGGCUUAGAAGCAGCCAUCAUUUAAAGAAAGCGUAAUAGCUCACUGGUCGAGUCGGCCUGCGCGGAAGAUGUAACGGGGCUAAACCAUGCACCGAAGCUGCGGCAGCGACGUUUAUGCGUUGUUGGGUAGGGGAGCGUUCUGUAAGCCUGCGAAGGUGUACUGUGAGGUAUGCUGGAGGUAUCAGAAGUGCGAAUGCUGACAUAAGUAACGAUAAAGCGGGUGAAAAGCCCGCUCGCCGGAAGACCAAGGGUUCCUGUCCAACGUUAAUCGGGGCAGGGUGAGUCGACCCCUAAGGCGAGGCCGAAAGGCGUAGUCGAUGGGAAACAGGUUAAUAUUCCUGUACUUGGUGUUACUGCGAAGGGGGGACGGAGAAGGCUAUGUUGGCCGGGCGACGGUUGUCCCGGUUUAAGCGUGUAGGCUGGUUUUCCAGGCAAAUCCGGAAAAUCAAGGCUGAGGCGUGAUGACGAGGCACUACGGUGCUGAAGCAACAAAUGCCCUGCUUCCAGGAAAAGCCUCUAAGCAUCAGGUAACAUCAAAUCGUACCCCAAACCGACACAGGUGGUCAGGUAGAGAAUACCAAGGCGCUUGAGAGAACUCGGGUGAAGGAACUAGGCAAAAUGGUGCCGUAACUUCGGGAGAAGGCACGCUGAUAUGUAGGUGAAGUCCCUCGCGGAUGGAGCUGAAAUCAGUCGAAGAUACCAGCUGGCUGCAACUGUUUAUUAAAAACACAGCACUGUGCAAACACGAAAGUGGACGUAUACGGUGUGACGCCUGCCCGGUGCCGGAAGGUUAAUUGAUGGGGUUAGCGGUAACGCGAAGCUCUUGAUCGAAGCCCCGGUAAACGGCGGCCGUAACUAUAACGGUCCUAAGGUAGCGAAAUUCCUUGUCGGGUAAGUUCCGACCUGCACGAAUGGCGUAAUGAUGGCCAGGCUGUCUCCACCCGAGACUCAGUGAAAUUGAACUCGCUGUGAAGAUGCAGUGUACCCGCGGCAAGACGGAAAGACCCCGUGAACCUUUACUAUAGCUUGACACUGAACAUUGAGCCUUGAUGUGUAGGAUAGGUGGGAGGCUUUGAAGUGUGGACGCCAGUCUGCAUGGAGCCGGCCUUGAAAUACCACCCUUUAAUGUUUGAUGUUCUAACGUUGGCCCCUUACCGGGGUUGCGGACAGUGUCUGGUGGGUAGUUUGACUGGGGCGGUCUCCUCCUAAAGAGUAACGGAGGAGCACGAAGGUUGGCUAAUCCUGGUCGGACAUCAGGAGGUUAGUGCAAUGGCAUAAGCCAGCUUGACUGCGAGCGUGACGGCGCGAGCAGGUGCGAAAGCAGGUCAUAGUGAUCCGGUGGUUCUGAAUGGAAGGGCCAUCGCUCAACGGAUAAAAGGUACUCCGGGGAUAACAGGCUGAUACCGCCCAAGAGUUCAUAUCGACGGCGGUGUUUGGCACCUCGAUGUCGGCUCAUCACAUCCUGGGGCUGAAGUAGGUCCCAAGGGUAUGGCUGUUCGCCAUUUAAAGUGGUACGCGAGCUGGGUUUAGAACGUCGUGAGACAGUUCGGUCCCUAUCUGCCGUGGGCGCUGGAGAACUGAGGGGGGCUGCUCCUAGUACGAGAGGACCGGAGUGGACGCAUCACUGGUGUUCGGGUUGUCAUGCCAAUGGCACUGCCCGGUAGCUAAAUGCGGAAGAGAUAAGUGCUGAAAGCAUCUAAGCACGAAACUUGCCCCGAGAUGAGUUCUCCCUGACUCCUUGAGAGUCCUGAAGGAACGUUGAAGACGACGACGUUGAUAGGCCGGGUGUGUAAGCGCAGCGAUGCGUUGAGCUAACCGGUACUAAUGAACCGUGAGGCUUAACCUU
rnacentral:rRNA from 1 species